GAUGAACGCUAGCGGCAGGCCUAACACAUGCAAGCCGAGCGGGAUUUGUUGGUUAGCUUGCUAACUAACAAUGAGAGCGGCGUACGGGUGCGUAGCACGUGUGUAACCUGCCUUUAUCUGGGGCAUAGCCUUUCGAAAGGAAGAUUAAUACCCCAUAACAUAUUGAUUGGCAUCAGUUAAUAUUGAAAGCUCCGGCGGAUAGAGAUGGGCACGCGUAAGAUUAGCUAGUUGGUAAGGUAACGGCUCACCAAGGCUGCGAUCUUUAGGGGGCCUGAGAGGGUGCUCCACUACAAUGGUACUGAGACCCGGACCACACUGCUACGCGAGGCAGCAGUGAGGAAUAUUAGACAAUGGGUGAGGGCCUGAUCCAGCCAUCCCGCGUGAAAGACUAAGGGGAUAUGGUUUGUAAACUUCUUUUAUACAGGGAUAAACCUACUCUCGUGAGGGUAGCUGAAGGUACUGUAUGAAUAAGCACCGGCUAACUCCGUG
rnacentral:rRNA from 1 species